AAAUAAUUGUUAACUGAAUGCAGUUGCUGCACAGUCAAGUACGACGAAGGAGGUUGACCUUAAAGACCAAAUUGCGAAAUAUCUAGAAGAUUCUUCAUUCCAAGAUAUGCUGGUCAAAGUUGAGGAAGUCAUCCGUGAAUUGGGAGAUAAUACAGUGCUGUAGCUGCACCAGAGCUGAUGCAAAAAAAAAUCAUAGCUGAUUACCUAUUAAUUCUUCAAACAUGGGAGGUUUUUUUCAUUUUCUUUCCCAAUUUGCUUAUAGAACACAUCAAAACAAGCAAGCAGUUGUACAAGAUAAUUUUUUCCGUGCAUUGUCUGUUGAAGCAAUUACAUUAGCUAUCUUAAGUAGAACUUGGAAGUACAAAAUUGUGAUCUCAUUUUAGACAA